UACGUAGGUGGCAAGCGUUGUUCGGAAUAACUGGGCGUAAAGGAUGCGUAGGCGGUUAAACAAGUUAUAUGUUAAAUAUAUAGGCUUAACCUGUAGAAAGCAUAUAAAACUGUUUAACUAGAGUGCAGGAGAGGUAAGUGGAAUUCCUAGUGUAGCGGUGAAAUGCGUAGAGAUUAGGAAGAACACCAGUGGCGAAGGCGUCUUACUGGACUGUAACUGACGCUGAGGCAUGAGAGCAUGGGGAGCAAACAGG
rnacentral:rRNA from 1 species